UACGGCCACGUCAUAUUGAAAAGCCGGUUCCCGUACGAUCACCAAAGUUAAGUAACGUCGAGUCUGGUCAAUACCUAGAUGGGUGACCGCUUGUUAAUACCAGGUGCUGUAAG